UGCCAGCUACCAUUCAGUCUGAGAUAUUAAGAAUAAAUAAAUGUGCAUAAUGUGGAAAUGAACAGAUUUUAUUUUUAUUUAUUCCUACAGCUGCUGCAGGUAAAGUUCCAGAAUGUGGAGGAAUUUAGUCUCACAAUCACAGACAAUAAAUAUUAUCUGAAAGUCGGGUUAUUGUUGUUUAUCAGCACAAUACAAAAAGAUUAAUGUUAGACAUAUUCCAGUUAAGACUCUAGAAUAUCAUGAUUUAUGUAAAUUUACCUCAAUAAUAUGAAUGUUCAGGUUAAGAUUGUACAGUGAUAUUUAUUAUGUAAGUUUAGCUGAUUAAAGUUUAUGACUCUGCACUACAAUAUUAUUAUUUAAAUUGACAUCAUUAUUAUAAUAUUUAGGGUCAGACCCUACAGUAUUGAGAUUAAGAAAUCAAAUAUUCUAUAAAAUGUAAAUACACUGAACUCAUUUGGAUAUAUUUAAGUGAGACUCUACAAUAUUAUUUGACACAAAUCUAUCUAAAUCAAAAUUUUAAUCAUUUUUACUCCAAACAUUUACUGGACUGAUUUAAACAUUAAAAUCACUCCUUUCUAAUCCUCUGCUGUACGUUCAAACCUGAGGCCUUAAAUAGAAACACACAAGUAUCUGAUUGAAGGAACUUCUGCAGAGUCCUGGUUCCAGAACAUGAUGAUAGAAUUAUAGACAAACUUUAACAAAAGCUGCCUGAGAGUUUACAGGUUUUUAUGUUGGAUUUCUUCAGUAAUUUAAUGAGAGUUAUCAGCAAAAAUCAAGUGUUCAUUUGAUGAACUUCAUUUCCUAAAACAUCCAGAAUUGGAGCUCAUAUCUUUGGCAGCUGUAAAGUUUCUGCUCCUUCAAAGUUCACAACACAAUGAAUGAAUUCCUAAAACACUCUCAAUGCUGGAGAGCGUUUGUGAUGCUGAAGCAGUGAUCAGUUUUUCUGUUUCUUCUCUGGAGAUGCACAAUGAGGGACGUCUGCAGAGACUGAGAAAGAGUCUCACCACAUCCUGACAUGAGGAAAAAGACUUUAUUGAAGACUACAAUGAGAAAAACUAUCAGACAGCAGACGGCUGCAUUCAAGGCUACAGGAGGAGUCCUACGAGGACGAGCCGGUCCACCUGAUGGCGGCCAGUCGCUGCGGUUCAAAGCCAACACCGACUACGUGGACUUCUACUGGACCACACGGAGGCCUUCAAACCGGACCAACAAGUUCACCGACUCCCCGACUUGUGGGUCUGAGGACGCCGCCGAGCCUCGGUCCAGCCGGCCUCCUGUCUGUGGGUGUUUGAGUGCUGAGAGGUUUGUGGAUGCAUGUAAACGUGUCUGUGUUGAAACAGCAGCUUUUGACUCAGUAACGC
ensembl:lncRNA